AUACGGGGGGUGCGAGCGUUAUUCGGAAUUACUGGGCGUAAAGAGCGCGUAGGCGGUCUUUUAAGUCAGGUGUGAAAGCCCGGGGCUCAACCCCGGAAGUGCACUUGAAACUAAGAGACUUGAGUAUGGGAGAGGGAAGUGGAAUGCCUGGUGUAGCGAUGAAAUGCGUAGAUAUCAGGAGGAACAUCAGUGGCGAAGGCGACUUCCUGGACCAAUACUGACGCUGAGGCGCGAAGGCGUGGGGAGCAAACAGGAUUAGAAACCCCGGUAGUCC
rnacentral:rRNA from 1 species